ACGGGAGGCAGCAGUGGGGAAUAUUGCACAAUGGGGGAAACCCUGAUGCAGCGACGCCGCGUGAGUGAAGAAGUAUUUCGGUAUGUAAAGCUCUAUCAGCAGGGAAGAUAAUGACGGUACCUGACUAAGAAGCCCCGGCUAACUACGUGCCAGCAGCCGCGGUAAUACGUAGGGGGCAAGCGUUAUCCGGAUUUACUGGGUGUAAAGGGAGCGUAGGUGGCGUGGCAAGUCAGAAGUGAAAGCCCGGGGCUCAACCCCGGGACUGCUUUUGAAACUGUCAUGCUGGAGUGCAGGAGAGGUAAGUGGAAUUCCUAGUGUAGCGGUGAAAUGCGUAGAUAUUAGGAGGAACACCAGUGGCGAAGGCGGCUUACUGGACGAUAACUGACGCUGAGGCUCGAAAGCGUGGGGAGCAAACAGGAUUAGAUACCCUGGUA
rnacentral:rRNA from 1 species